rnacentral:rRNA from 1 species
UACAGAAGUCCCAAGCGUUGUUCGGAUUCACUGGGCGUAAAGGGUGCGUAGGUGGUAAGGCAAGUCAGGUGUGAAAUCUCCGGGCUCAACCCGGAAAUGGCAUUCGAAACUACCUUGCUAGAGGGUUUGAGGGGGGACUGGAAUACUUGGUGUAGCAGUGAAAUGCGUAGAUAUCAAGUGGAACACCAGUGGCGAAGGCGAGUCCCUGGAAAACUCCUGACACUGAGGCACGAAAGCUAGGGGAGCAAACAGG